rnacentral:rRNA from 1 species
UUAAGCGACUAAGCGUACACGGUGGAUGCCCUGGCAGUCAGAGGCGAUGAAGGACGUGCUAAUCUGCGAAAAGCGUCGGUAAGGUGAUAUGAACCGUUAUAACCGGCGAUGUCCGAAUGGGGAAACCCAGUGCAAUUCGUUGCACUAUCGUUAACUGAAUACAUAGGUUAACGAGGCGAACCGGGGGAACUGAAACAUCUAAGUACCCCGAGGAAAAGAAAUCAACCGAGAUUCCCCCAGUAGCGGCGAGCGAACGGGGAGCAGCCCAGAGUCUGAAUCAGCUUGUGUGUUAGUGGAACGGUCUGGAAAGUCCGACGGUACAGGGUGAUAGUCCCGUACACCAAAAUGCACAGGCUGUGAACUCGAAGAGUAGGGCGGGACACGUGGUAUCCUGUCUGAAUAUGGGGGGACCAUCCUCCAAGGCUAAAUACUCCUGACUGACCGAUAGUGAACCAGUACCGUGAGGGAAAGGCGAAAAGAACCCCGGCGAGGGGAGUGAAAAAGAACCUGAAACCGUGUACGUACAAGCAGUGGGAGCACCUUCGGGUGUGACUGCGUACCUUUUGUAUAAUGGGUCAGCGACUUAUAUUCUGUAGCAAGGUUAACCGUAUAGGGGAGCCGCAGGGAAACCGAGUCUUAACUGGGCGUUAAGUUGCAGGGUAUAGACCCGAAACCCGGUGAUCUAGCCAUGGGCAGGUUGAAGGUUGGGUAACACUAACUGGAGGACCGAACCGACUAAUGUUGAAAAAUUAGCGGAUGACUUGUGGCUGGGGGUGAAAGGCCAAUCAAACCGGGAGAUAGCUGGUUCUCCCCGAAAGCUAUUUAGGUAGCGCCUCGUGAACUCAUCUUCGGGGGUAGAGCACUGUUUCGGCUAGGGGGUCAUCCCGACUUACCAACCCGAUGCAAACUACGAAUACCGAAGAAUGUUAUCACGGGAGACACACGGCGGGUGCUAACGUCCGUCGUGAAGAGGGAAACAACCCAGACCGCCAGCUAAGGUCCCAAAGUCAUGGUUAAGUGGGAAACGAUGUGGGAAGGCACAGACAGCCAGGAUGUUGGCUUAGAAGCAGCCAUCAUUUAAAGAAAGCGUAAUAGCUCACUGGUCGAGUCGGCCUGCGCGGAAGAUGUAACGGGGCUAAACCAUGCACCGAAGCUGCGGCAGCGACACUAUGUGUUGUUGGGUAGGGGAGCGUUCUGUAAGCCUGCGAAGGUGUGCUGUGAGGCAUGCUGGAGGUAUCAGAAGUGCGAAUGCUGACAUAAGUAACGAUAAAGCGGGUGAAAAGCCCGCUCGCCGGAAGACCAAGGGUUCCUGUCCAACGUUAAUCGGGGCAGGGUGAGUCGACCCCUAAGGCGAGGCCGAAAGGCGUAGUCGAUGGGAAACAGGUUAAUAUUCCUGUACUUGGUGUUACUGCGAAGGGGGGACGGAGAAGGCUAUGUUAGCCGGGCGACGGUUGUCCCGGUUUAAGCAUGUAGGCUGGUUGUCCAGGCAAAUCCGGAUAAUCAAGGCUGAGGUGUGAUGACGAGGCACUACGGUGCUGAAGUAACAAAUGCCCUGCUUCCAGGAAAAGCCUCUAAGCAUCAGGUAACAUCAAAUCGUACCCCAAACCGACACAGGUGGUCAGGUAGAGAAUACCAAGGCGCUUGAGAGAACUCGGGUGAAGGAACUAGGCAAAAUGGUGCCGUAACUUCGGGAGAAGGCACGCUGGUGUGUAGGUGAAGUCCCUGCGGAUGGAGCUGAGACCAGUCGAAGAUACCAGCUGGCUGCAACUGUUUAUUAAAAACACAGCACUGUGCAAACACGAAAGUGGACGUAUACGGUGUGACGCCUGCCCGGUGCCGGAAGGUUAAUUGAUGGGGUUAUCCGUAAGGAGAAGCUCUUGAUCGAAGCCCCGGUAAACGGCGGCCGUAACUAUAACGGUCCUAAGGUAGCGAAAUUCCUUGUCGGGUAAGUUCCGACCUGCACGAAUGGCGUAAUGAUGGCCAGGCUGUCUCCACCCGAGACUCAGUGAAAUUGAACUCGCUGUGAAGAUGCAGUGUACCCGCGGCAAGACGGAAAGACCCCGUGAACCUUUACUAUAGCUUGACACUGAACAUUGAGCCUUGAUGUGUAGGAUAGGUGGGAGGCUUUGAAGCGUGGACGCCAGUCUGCGUGGAGCCAACCUUGAAAUACCACCCUUUAAUGUUUGAUGUUCUAACGUUGGCCCCUUACCGGGGUUGCGGACAGUGUCUGGUGGGUAGUUUGACUGGGGCGGUCUCCUCCCAAAGCGUAACGGAGGAGCACGAAGGUUAGCUAAUCCUGGUCGGACAUCAGGAGGUUAGUGCAAUGGCAUAAGCUAGCUUGACUGCGAGCGUGACGGCGCGAGCAGGUGCGAAAGCAGGUCAUAGUGAUCCGGUGGUUCUGAAUGGAAGGGCCAUCGCUCAACGGAUAAAAGGUACUCCGGGGAUAACAGGCUGAUACCGCCCAAGAGUUCAUAUCGACGGCGGUGUUUGGCACCUCGAUGUCGGCUCAUCACAUCCUGGGGCUGAAGUAGGUCCCAAGGGUAUGGCUGUUCGCCAUUUAAAGUGGUACGCGAGCUGGGUUUAGAACGUCGUGAGACAGUUCGGUCCCUAUCUGCCGUGGGCGCUGGAGAAUUGAGGGGGGCUGCUCCUAGUACGAGAGGACCGGAGUGGACGCAUCACUGGUGUUCGGGUUGUCAUGCCAAUGGCACUGCCCGGUAGCUAAAUGCGGAAGAGAUAAGUGCUGAAAGCAUCUAAGCACGAAACUUGCCCCGAGAUGAGUUCUCCCUGAGACUUUAAGUCUCCUGAAGGAACGUUGAAGACGACGACGUUGAUAGGCCGGGUGUGUAAGCGCAGCGAUGCGUUGAGCUAACCGGUACUAAUGAACCGUGAGGCUUAACCU